CCGUCUUCAUCCUCCUCCAGUCCUCCUGGGCAUAAGCGAUUUUGUUUAGUGGCGCCCGACCAGAGUAGUUAAACCCUAGUCCAGACUCUCAAGGGACUCACCGAUUAGUCUUCUAAUGCUGCGUAUACUUAUUCUUCUUCUUCGUCGUUAGAACAUGAAUUGUGCAAUUUCCGGCGAAGUUCCGGAGGAGCCUUUGGUUUCGCAUAUAUCGAUUGCUUCUGAUACUUUGUAGGAUUAUGGGAAAUGCCCUGUUACUCGUGAACCACAUACCCUUGAUGACAUUGUUCACAUCAAAUUAAUUAUUUCUCACACUCACAGAGCACUGUUUUCAUCGUGAU